rnacentral:lncRNA from 1 species
GCGAGUAUAUAGCGGAAACUGGAGGAGAGGGAGAUCUGGGAUGGGAGAGAGGUACGACCUUACCUUCUCCGGCUCAAUCGACGCCGUCAACGGCGUCAGAAGUCGCCGGUCAGCCAAGGGGGAGCGUAUAGGUGAACGUUAAGGAAAACAAUUGACUAUGUUAAUUAAGGAAAACAAUUUUCCAUGAUGUGUUAACUUUUUAGUUGGGACAGAUUUUAUUUGGCUAUUUAUGAUAAAGACUAGAAGUGCAAGGCCCGCGUAGCACGGGCCCAGCAAUAGAACAUGUGGAUUGCAAUUUUUAAGUUUUAGGAUUUAUCUUGGAGUAGGAAGUUUGAGCAGUAGAAUGUUUUGCAAAAUGGUACUGCACAUAUAAUUUACAUAGAUACAAAAAAGGAGUUAAGGAGCCAUGUUUUGCAAAAUGGUACUGUAAAUAUAGUUUACAUAGAUACAAAAAAAGAGCUGAUGCAUCCUCAGGUUGGGCUCUGCAAAUGUAUGAUUGAGGCUUGUUGCAUGAAAGAAUACAAGCUAAUUAUUAGAGGUUUAUGAUGAACAUUGCAAGAAAUUUCGAAAAAAUAAUAACAAAUAUUGGUCAUUGGUUGAUCAAUUCAACAGAAAGCCGUUGUUGCAUACACCUUACACAUUUGAAGUAUCCAAUUAAGGGGAAAGUGGGUAUUUUCUCUUGGUAGUAGGCUAGAUUUGCUANNNNNNNNNNNNNNGGAAAGAAGAGGAAAUAUUAAAGGUACUCAUUUAACUUUCGGUCAAUUUUUGUGUAGUUUUAAUAUUCACAUUACGCAACAACAACCACCAAAUGUAUUUCCACAAGCAAAGUCUAAAGAGCAUACUGAAUACCAAUCAAAUCCGAUCACCCACCUCAGUCAACUACUUUGCUAUUAUAUGUUCUUACAUAAGUUCGAAUAAGUAAACCAUAUGCUUAUAUCCAUAUCAGAGAAAACCAUGAGUAAAUGAUCAAGCUUCAACGAUGCAAUCGAAUUAUCAAAAUUAGACCUCGCUGGAGAAAAACUACGACGAAUCGUCUUAUUCACCAGCGGCAACGCGGCGGCUUAGAUUGAAAAUCCUCAAAUAAAAUCGAUUUCUUUCCGCAUAGUAUAGCAGACAUAUUGUGCCGGAAUAGCAAAGAAUAAUUUCGAUUAUCAGAUUUCUCCGAUCACUAUUCGGGAUCAUGCAGAUAUAUAACUUUAAUUAAAUAUUUAAUUUGAUAAUUCUAAAUAUAGAAAUUACUACAAUUACAAGUUACAACAAUUGCAUAUAAAAGGAUUAUAAGGAAAUUUUAAUACCUUUUUUACAACAACUGAAAAGAUUGUGGAGCCUGUUUCUUGGUGAGGAGAUAUUUUUGAGAGGAUAAAACACACACAAAAGUAAAUGAAAAUGAAGAAAAAAUAAGCAAAGAAAUGUAACAAAUAUUCAAAAAGGUCACUGAAAAUGUAAGGAACAAAGGGGAGUAAGAACAUACAAAGAUUUGGGUUCUCG